GAUGAAGAACGUAGCAAAAUGCGAUAAGUAAUGUGAAUUGCAGAAUUCAGUGAAUCAUCGAAUCUUUGAACGCACAUUGCGCCCGCUGGUAUUCCGGCGGGCAUGCCUGUUCGAGCGUCAUUUCAACCCUCAAGCCCCCGGGUUUGGUGUUGGGGAUCGGCUCUGCCCUUCUGGGCGGUGCCGCCCCCGAAAUACAUUGGCGGUCUCGCUGCAGCCUCCAUUGCGUAGUAGCUAACACCUCGCAACAGGAACGCGGCGCGGCCAUGCCGUAAAACCCCAACUUCUGAAUGUUGACCUCGGAUCAGGUAGGAAUACCCGCUGAACUUAAGCAUAUCAAUAAGCGGAGGA
rnacentral:misc_RNA from 1 species